CUUUUAUAUGCAUUUAAAAUAUUAUUUAAAAUUGCAACAUUUAUUCCCCCCCUUUUUCCCUAGCGAAGGUAUGCACCUUCACAUAUUAUGAAGAUAAAAACCCAUUUUAAUGGAAAUGUAACAACUCCAAAUUGGUAGACUAUAAGGCCACCGGCUUGUGCAGUAUUUAAUUUAACAGCUAUAAAGUUUUGUUAGAUUUUCCUUGUCAUAUUAACUCAGUUACAGUUUACAGAGGGUAUGAGAACACUUCUCAGAGAACUGUGUUUAAAUCCUUCUGGUGCAGCUUAUUAAAAAGAAAAUCCACAAUCUGUAUUACACAUCACAUUUCUCUGACUCAAAGCAAGUUUCAAACAUAUUUUGAAGCAGACAUUGGUCAGCUGACAUAAUUUUAAAAAAGAAUUUUCAGUCAUUCUAAAAUAUGAGGAUAUCAAUGCUGCUAGGUAUGUUCAUGCUUUCCCUACAUAUGAGAACCACACAGGGUUGUUUGUUUCCCAAUACUAAAUAUUUGAGUUGGUGAAUCUUCAAAGCCUUCAUUAUUAACAUUUCUGCAGCACACCCUCAAUGUUGUGCUUUUGAUGCUGCUCUCUGCUGGAACUCACACAGAUUUGAGCAGCUAUAUUUUAAAUAGUCUCAAAGGACAGGAAGCAGCUUUCUGGCUUAAUAGUGUUCUCAUACACUAUGUGCUGAUUGUGGGGAUGUCUUUUCGGCUUUGCAAAAUUUGUAUUGUCUUAGCCAAGCUCAGAAAGGAACAAAAUACAUUUAUAAAUAUAUGAAUUUUGAAAAGCUCAAUUAAAACCCCCCUGCUCAUUUUAGGGUUGUUAAGUUUUAUUGAACCACCCGAGUCCUGAGUGAGUACUUAAAAGAUAAUGUUUAUUUUGUUGUUAUGAAAAUUCUGUCCUUUUGCAGGUACAUCUUUUGUUGCAUAAGCCAAAAUAAUUUGUUCAUAGUGCAAAGGCAGUUUGGCUUCUGUUCAAUGAAAUGAAGGGGGAAAAGAGCUCAAACAAUAUUGCAGGAGAAGAAAACUCUGGCAGAGUAUCUGUACUGCAUUUUGGCUAUCUAAGUGAUUGCAACUAUCUUUUCAUUUGUUAUCCACUCAACUGAUUUCACAGAAUCAAAAGUUGUU